UACAGAGGGUGCGAGCGUUAAUCGGAAUUACUGGGCGUAAAGGGCGUGUAGGUGGUUAUGUAAGUUUGAUGUGAAAGCCCCGGGCUUAACCUGGGAACUGCGUUGAAAACUGCAAGACUAGAGUUGGACAGAGGGUGGUGGAAUUUCCGGUGUAGCGGUGAAAUGCGUAGAGAUCGGAAAGAACAUCCGUGGCGAAGGCGGCCACCUGGGUCCAAACUGACACUGAGGCGCGAAAGCGUGGGGAGCAAACAGGAUUAGAUACCCUGGUAGUCCAUGCUGUAAACGAUGAGAACUGGAUGUGCGGAAGGGAUUAACCUUCUGCGUAUCGAAGCUAACGCGUUAAGUUCUCCGCCUGGGGAGUACGGCCGCAAGGUUAAA
rnacentral:rRNA from 1 species